rnacentral:lncRNA from 1 species
CCAAACUGUGAGUAUCCUUUUUUCUUCUUUCCUUCAGCUCCCUCUUCAAUUAGAGAAAGGACAAAAUUGUGGGGGAAGACCUUUUGGAAGAACAAAGGUAAUAAAAACAUUUGGUUGACAUACAGGUAAACGCCUGGGUUGGACACUUUGGAGAACCACCUAGGUAAUGAGUUUUUUGGAUCUAAGGGAGGCUUUGAAGGGAGUUUAGAAAGUUGGCUUUUCAAGGAGUUUCUGAGACACCAGGGGUGAUUCGGGGCCCAAGUAAGAGAAAAUCCAUUAUUUAUGGGGGCAAGAUACUCAGGUUUAUUUCAAGGUUGCCAAGACAAUUCAUUUGGUGGAACAGGAGCUAGCUUUCAGGGAAGAAUCCUCUAGAAGAAUGAAGCUCCCCUCUUUAUCUCUCACAUGCGUCUUUGGAGAAUCUGAACAAGGUGGGAAGGAUUCAGGCAAGAUAUGAGAGUAACUAUAAGCAUCCUCUAUGGCAGCUACCGCUAACUUUAAUUCUACCUUUCUUCUGAGUCUUAACAGAUCCAAACCAACAAGUAUGCCUUGCAGUGAGGAGAAUCUUUAGUAAAUUGACUUUUAAAAAUAGAAAUGUUUUCCUUUACAUCUUUCUCUGUAUGAACUGAGAUGUCACGUACAGGUAACACUCAUCUUCUACUGUUCUAUAAUUUUAUCUUUCCAAUUUGAAGUUUUGCUACAGUCUGAGAAUAGAGUAGAAAGACAGCCAAUAUACUGAAGAAGUAUUAAAGGCAAACAUGGAGUUAGUGAAAGGGACAGACUGAAGGGUGGAAUAAGAACUGUGGUCACAGAUGAACAGACCCCUUUUCUUUACAUAUGCAGCACAUGCACAUACAUCUGGGGUGAUCUAAACCCCUUUUGGUUGCACACCCUGCAAAUCAUAUACACACCCCUAUUAUUGCAUCUAUUAUAUUCAUGUACUUGACUUAGUUGUUUGUUUCUCUCAUUAGACCACAAACUGUCCUGGGAAGGGACCCUCUCUUAAUCAUCUUUGAACAACAGCUAGUGACACGCCUGUAGAUGUUUAAUAAACUUUUGUUGAAUGGAAAUAGUCCUGCAUAAAAAUUAGACAAUUUUUGGGGUGCCUAGGUGGCUCAGUCAGUUGAGCGUCUGACUUCGGCUGAGGUCAUCAUCUCGCAGUUUGUGGGUUUGAGCCUGGCGUUGGGCUCUGUGUUGACAGCUCAAAGUCUGGAGCCUGUUUCAGAUUCUGUGUCUCCCUCUCUCUCUGUCCCUCUCCUGCUUGUAUUCUGUCUGUCUGUCUGUCUCUCUGUCAACAAUAAAUAAACAUUAAAAGGGGUGCUUUGAUGGCUCAGUUGGUUAAGCGUCCAACUUCGACUCAGGUCAUUAUCUCACAUUUCAUGGGUUUGAGCCCGGCGUUAGGUUCUGUGCUGACAGCUCAGAGCCUGGAGCCUACUUCAGAUUCUGUGUCUCCCUCUCUCUCUGCUCGUCCCCCAUUCAUGCUCUUUCUCUGUUUCUCAAAAAUAUAUAAAUGCUAAAAUUUUUUUAAGUGAAUAAACAUUAAAUAAUUUUUUUAAAUCAAAAAUAUUAGACAAUUUUUGACCCGGAAAGAAAGAUUAGACUAAAAUAUUUAUACAUUCAUCAAAUAUUUUUUGAGCAACUGCUACACUUCUGUGUCUGAGACAUCUUGCUCUGUUCUGGGAGUAAAUACAAAAACGUAAGAUACAAUGAGAACAAUUUCGACCUGGUGAUAAAGACCCACAGUGAGGUGACUAUUACGAUAUAGUGAGACAGGUAUGGGAUCUCAGAGGGGUCAGUUCACUUAUCUUCUUGGUAUGACUUGGUAGGGGCAUGCUGGUGGUAGGGGGAGAGAGUGAGAAAGUCAGGGAUGAUUUAGUAGAGAAAAUGAUAAAGAUGUGAGGUGGUUACCCAGGAACAUAUACAUGAAAUAUUAAAAUCUUACUGGGUGGCAAAAUAGUAUUAACUGCCAAAAUACUUAAAAUGUACACAGACUUUGACCCGGAAAUUCUCCUAUGACGGUAGUCCUAAAGGGCAUUACCAGAGACCUGACCAAAGAUUUGGUUAGAAUUUUAUUUACAGCAUUAAUUGAGAUGGAAGAAAUAUCUGAAAUACUUCUAAAAGGAGUGUUUAAGAAAAAAUUAUUCAUAUGGUGAAAAUUAUGUAGCUAGUAAUAAUCAUGGGGUUUUCCACUGAUUUAAAGGAUCCUCUGGAUAUGCUGCUGAUAUAAAAAGUAGAUGUACUGGGGCACCUGGGUGGUUCAGUCCAUUAAGCGUCCAACUUGAUUUUGGCUGGGGUCAUGAUCUUGGGUCAUGGUCUCAUGGCUUCAUGGGUUCGAGCCCUUCUUUGGGCUCUGUGUUGAAAACGCCAAGUCUGCUUAGGGUUCUCUUCCUCCUCUCUGUCUGCCCCUCCCUUGUUUGUAUGCACUCACUCUCUCUUUCUCUCUCCCUCUCUCUCAAAAUAAAUAUUUAAAAAGUAAAUGUAAAAGUAGGUGUACUAACUGUGCAUGUAAGGUGAUCCAAUUUUUGUAAAUGACAUGCCAAUGCCAUGAAUAUAUUAUUUUUAAGGAAAGAGUAGAACGCAUAGAGAGAAUGUAUCACUAUUUGGGAAACCACAAAUACACUCUGCUCCAGACAUCACUGCUUCCAAUGCAGCUGCUAUCCUGGCCAUGCUCAGUCCUGGUCUCCUGCACCCACCACCCCUCAAAGCUUCCUUUUUCCCCAAGGUGGGAAGCAGCAACAGGAGCAGUAUGCUCCUACUCCUUCUCCUCCUCCUCCCCGCCCCCCUUCCUCUCCUCCCCUGCCUUCUCCACCUACCCCCUCCCUGUCCCCUGGUGAGCGCACAAGGCCUCGACCAGCUGCUGCCUGCUGGUCAACUCCAAGAAGGUCCCUCCAAGUUCCUGGUGCAGCUCGAGGAGGAGCCUCUGAGGCAGACCCAGAAUAAGGUGCUGGGGAGACCCGGCUUCAGUGGCUGCAGCGCCACCAUGUAGCACACUUGGACCUCAAGCCCUUCACAUGUGGCUCCUGUGGCAAGCACUUCAAGAGCUCCAGCCACCUGUCACGUAAUCGCACCACAAACUGUGCCAGGGGUGGCUGGCUACACGUACGUCCCCCAGAAGCAUGUGUGGCUUCCAGGACAACUUGAGCCUGGCGCAGCACAUGUGCUUCCACAAAGUUCGAGAUCUGGCCUGCUCUGCUCCUCCCUGGGCCACCAUGUUUGUCUCACACAAAUUUACCGGCUUUGCAGAGGUUACCUGCUUCCCCUGGGUAACCCAGGUACCCAUCUACAUGAUGAGAAAGGCAUCAUUCCUUCCUUCCCCCUGCUUCUUACUAUGCUACACGGACAAAGUUGCUGCCCUCUGGGGGCCUGCUGAAUGGGCGCCCGUGGAAUGCCUGGGAGCCAGUUAGAACUGUGUUCUGGUCCAGCCUCAACGUGGGAGCCUUUGCAAGCAGCAAAACCUUGGUUUCCUGCGCUCCCAAGUGGUGAAACAUUGUUUUGUGGGUAAAAGAGAUGACAAAAGAGCAGGGGCACUGCCUGGUUCAUGUUUGUAACUCCCUCUUCCACCCAGUACCCUCACCCUUUGUUCAAUAAACAUUCUGCAUUUGGAAACAAAAACAAAAAAAAAAAACAUACAAACAAACAAUUCUGCUGGAAUUCGGGGGAGACAGAACUGAAGGUAUGGUUGAAUGGGGCCUGCCUGUGAGGGGAUCUUCCACAACAUGCUUGAAGAUGUUGGAGAA